rnacentral:rRNA from 1 species
GACGAACGCUGGCGGCGUGCUUAACACAUGCAAGUCGAGCGAUGAAGUUCCUUCGGGAAUGGAUUAGCGGCGGACGGGUGAGUAACACGUGGGUAACCUGCCUCAUAGAGGGGACUAGCCUUCCGAAAGGAAGAUUAAUACCGCAUAAGAUUGUAGUUUCGCAUGAAACAGCAAUUAAAGGAGUAAUCCGCUAUGAGAUGGACCCGCGUCGCAUUAGCUAGUUGGUGAGGUAACGGCUCACCAAGGCGACGAUGCGUAGCCGACCUGAGAGGGUGAUCGGCCACAUUGGGACUGAGACACGGCCCAGACUCCUACGGGAGGCAGCAGUGGGGAAUAUUGCACAAUGGGGGAAACCCUGAUGCAGCAACGCCGCGUGAGUGAUGACGGUCUUCGGGUUGUAAAACUCUGUCUUCAGGGACGAUAAUGACGGUACCUGAGGAGGAAGCCACGGCUAACUACGUGCCAGCAGCCGCCGUAACAC